rnacentral:pre_miRNA from 1 species
GACAUACUCCCUCCGUUCGGAAUUACUUGUCUCAAAAAUGAAUGUAUCUAGAACUAAAAUAUGUCUAGAUACAUCCAUUUCUGCGACAAGUAAUUCCGAACGGAGGGAGUAGAAC